rnacentral:rRNA from 1 species
CAGGCUUAACACAUGCAAGUCGAGCGGGGGAAAGUGCUUCGGUACUGACCUUAGCGGCGGACGGGUGAGUAACGCGUAGGAAUGUGUCCAGAGGUGGGGGACAACCCCGGGAAACUGGGGCUAAUACCGCAUAUGUCCUGAGGGACAAAGCAGUAAUGCGCCUUUGGAGCAGCCUGCGUCCGAUUAGGUAGUUGGUGGGGUAAUGGCCUACCAAGCCUGCGAUCGGUAGCUGGUCUGAGAGGAUGAUCCGCCACACUGGGACUGAGACACGGCCCAGACUCCUACGGGAGGCAGCAGUGGGGAAUAUUGGACAAUGGGCGCAAGCCUGAUCCAGCAAUGCCGCGUGGGUGAAGAAGGUCUUCGGAUCGUAAAGCCCUUUCGACAGGGACGAUGAUGACGGUACCUGUAGAAGAAGCCCCGGCUAACUUCGUGCCAGCCGCCGCAGUAACAC